rnacentral:lncRNA from 1 species
GGGCCCUUCCCGUUUGGGCCAAGAAGGAGACCGUGGCCCAGAGGGAGGAGCGGAGCCUGGACAACUUCUUUGCCAAGGACAAGAAAAAGGUUCUAAGCAGCCACGCCGCCAACAACACAGGUGGAGCGGCGAGGGCCAGGCCAGGCGAGGCGGGGCCGCAGGCGCAGGGAUUGCGGGCCCCAGGGCCGCCACGAAGGCCAUGACGAAGGAUGAAGAUGAGUGUUAAGAAUUUGAGCAAAAAGAGGUUAAUUACAGCGGACUCUGAGUGCAGGCCACGCAAAUUAGUGAAAGGGAAGAUGAUAAUGAAAAAAGAGAAGAUCCAGGAGAUAACUGGGAAGAAGGUGGAGGUGGUGGAGGUAUAGAGAAAUCUUCAGGUCCUUGGAACAAAACACCUCCGGUACAAGCACCUCCUGCUCCAGUAAUUGUUACAGAAAUCCCAGAACCAGCAAUGCCUAGUGGUGUAUCAUAGGCCAGGCUAACCACAAGGAAAACGCCUACAAGGACCACCAGAAAUACACAGUGAUAGUUUCCAUCCUUGCAGUCCACUGCCAAACAAGUAGAAAGCCGAAUAGGGAUAAAGAAAUGGAGAAGAGCUUUGAAAUAGAUAAGACACAAAAAUAGAGGUAGGGAUGAGGUUUCAAAAAAAACCAGGCCCUUAAACUUCAGCUAGACAGCCAGUAUGCUGUGCUUGAAAACCAGAAAUGCAGCCACACACAGUACAAUUAAGGAAUGGUCUUUGCCAACCCCUCUAAGGUAACUAGACCACAGCUAACCACCAUGAACAGCCAUUCAUCAUCUGAUCUCUGUUGGAUCUACAGCAACUGAUUCAGACCAUGCAAGUGACCAGCCUAUUACACCAGGGAAGUUUAAAGUGUCACAACUGCUCUUUAUGUAUAUUGGAUUUAAGGGAAUUUUAAUUCUUACGUGUGUGAACUAGAUUCAACACUUUUUUCAUAAUCACUCUGCAAAUACAAAAAAACCAAAACCUGCAGUCAGUGGUCAUUUGGAAAAUCUUUUUAUGUUCAGAUACUGAGCCUUUGUAAGGGUUGACUACCCCAGAUUUGCUGCACUCUUUGUGGACUUCAUAUGGAUCACAACUUCUGGAUAAGAGGAUUACAGCUAUUAAAAGUACCGAUGUGAACCUUGAAACCAGC